rnacentral:tRNA from 3 species
AUAAGGUUAAGUUAGUUUAGACUAAAUGUUUUCAAAACAUUAAGCGGUGUUGUUAGACACCAUCUUAUG